rnacentral:rRNA from 1 species
GACGAACGCUGGCGGCGUGCUUAACACAUGCAAGUCGAACGAAGUGGCGAAGGGGUGAGUAAUACGUGAGUAACCUGCCCUCCUUUGUGGGAUAAGCCUUGGAAACGGGGUAUAAUACCGAAUAAAGGGGGAUGGGCUCGCGGCCUAUCAGCUUGUUGGUGGGGUGAUGGCCUACCAAGGCGGUGACGGGUAGCCGGCCUGAGAGGUAGACUGGCACUAUUGCGACUGCGAUACGGCCCAGCCACCUACCAGUGGCAGCAGUGGGGGAUAUGGCACAAUUGGCGCGAGGCUAAUGCAGCGGCGCCGCGUGGGCGUUGAGGGCUUUCGGGUUGUAAACCUCUUUCGCUAUCGAUCCGGUAGUUGGAGAGAAAGCGCCGGCUAACUACGUGCCAGCAGCCGCGGUAAUAC